CCAUCAUCGCCAUCAUCCUGACUAGUCUUUCAGGUGAUGAGUGCUGGAAGACGCUUUAAUCUUCCAGUGGCGCAAGAAUGUUCAGAGAGAGCCCUCGGAAGAUUUCUUCCGAGGGCUUUUUGGC
rnacentral:sRNA from 1 species